AAUAUUAGUCAAUGCUCGCAAGAGUGAACUAGCUAACUGAAAUCAUAUGAGUCACUCUGUUGAUGAUUAUGAUAACGUAAGGGAAAAAAAUGAUAUUACCUUACUAUUAGUGUUGUCCAAAACUGGUGCCAGAAGACUCGGUAAGGCCAGAGACGCAAACGUUAGUCGUCCUAAUCAGGCGUAAAGGGUAUGUAGGCUGCUUUAAAAAUUUUAAUAUUUAAAAUAGCUAUGUAAUCAUAUAAAAUAUAAAAUUUAUAUGUAUUUCAGUAAAUAUAAAAUGAAUUAAAGCUAGGAUCAAAUUGAGGAUAAGCCAAAUAAUACUUAGUGUAGGGUUGAUAUCUAUAGAUACUAAGGGGAAUACUAAAGGUGAAAGCUUUUUAUCUAAUAAUGAUUGACGCUGAGAAACGAAGGUGAGAAUAGGAAAUAGGAUUAGAUACCCAGAUACCUCUCACUGUCAACGAUGAAUGGUGGUUGUUAGUUUUAAUAAAAACUGGUAACGAUGUUAACACGAUAACCAUUCCGCCUUGCGAGUACGGUUGCAAAACUGAAACCAAAAAAAUUAGUCGGUCUCGAAGCAAACGAAGUGAAGCAUGUUAUUUAAUU
rnacentral:rRNA from 1 species